rnacentral:rRNA from 1 species
UACCAGCUCUCCGAGUGGUGUGGAUGUUUAUUGGGCCUAAAGCAUCCGUAGCUGGCUAAGUUAGUCCCUUGUUAAAUCCACCGAAUUAAUCGUUGGAUUGCGGGGGAUACUGCUUGGCUAGGGGACGAGAGAGGCAGACGGUAUUUCCGGGGUAGGGGUGAAAUCCUAUAAUCCCGGGAAGACCACCAGUGGCGAAGGCUGUCUGCUAGAACGCGCCCGACGGUGAGGGAUGAAAGCUGGGGGAGCGAAC